CGUAAAGACUUACUAAAGGUGACAAAAGUUGUGGCAGCAGACCAGAUGUAUUGUAACAACAUUGAAUUACACAAAGGUCAAAGCCAUCAGUAUGAAAGCCUCAUCACAUCGACGGUUGCACGGGCGGCUUGGAACAAGAUAUGCUCCUUCGGAACUUUCUGCCAGACUACCGGAGGGUCCAUGGUGGCACAGGUUGAUACGGCAAUGGCCCCUCUCGGCAAUCAGCUGGUCACUUGUGAAAUAAACAUGUACACUUG